UGAAUGCAUCUUGGCUUUCUAGAAACUGGAGAGACGGAGACAGCUGGUUGGCAUAAGAGCAUCGGCCUGAGAAUGUCAGAACUGAGGAAGAUUUGGUAGUGUGCCAAAGUGCUGGUUAUCACAGAGUUUCAUCUCAGCACAAAACUGCCCAGCUAAAGGAUGGUGAACUGAGUCCAGAAAUGAUAUCUUUUUGUUUUCUGUUUAUUCCUGGUGUUCCUGAGUACAAGGGGAUGGCCAAAAAAAUGAUGGUAUGGCAUGAUAGAAAGUGAAGACCUCUCUACACAUGACACUUUGUUAUGACUUCAUGGCGGUGUAGCAACAUGGAACAAGGUCCUACUCCUCCAGGAAGAUGAUGGAGAAUGCUGAAACUGUGCUCCAAGGCCACGAGAAGGAAAAGGCCUGGAUUUUCUCUUCACUCUCUUUCAGUCCUGCUGCCUCCCAGUUUCUCCAGGGGAGUUUUUGUCUCCCUAGGGCUUAAGGAGGAUCCUGGGCUCACGUGCUCAGGAUGUUUGAAAGAACCAAAAACAGGAAGGAGAAGAAACAGGCCCUGUUUGUUAGGAAGCAGAAAAACAAAGAUGCAGAGUGGUAUGGGAAGGAGAACACCUGCCUGAGAGACUGGGGUCUGAAUUCCAUCUCUGCCUUUCACUCCCCAUGUGACCUUGGGCUGGUCCAUGUACCACUGUAGACCUCAGUCUUCUCAUCUGCCCAAUGGGUAGGACAAUAUUACUUAAGGCUCCUUGUCCCAGUGUUAGGGAUAGAAAGGAUAAAAUACAUGUAAAGGAGCCUGUGAAGUGAUGAAUGACAGAUACACAUACAGCCUGCAGUGAGGAGUGAGCAAACACAGAAAUGUUUAUGGCCAGUGGCUGCUGUGCAGAUUAUGUGGGUAAAGAUCACAUUGUACCAUGAAUGGUCAGGAGUAUUGUUAUGUAGAGCUCUGGUUUUUCAUCAGAUUGUGCCUACAUAGAUGUGUAUAUACACACACACACACA
rnacentral:lncRNA from 1 species